rnacentral:pre_miRNA from 1 species
UGCCGCCAGCAGCAGCACAGAAGUAAGGGUGGCCUGGUAUGGUAUUGCCACCCUUACUUCUGUGCUGCUGCGGGCAGGG